GUCGGCUGUUCAAACCCUCACUGCUUGCCCCUCUCACAGUUUUAAUAAGGAUGUUUCGAGACGCGAGAGGAAGUAACCCUGCUGCCCCCUGCCUUCCCAUGCUGCAGUGUUAGCAAUGCUGGAGCUGACCACUGCUGGAAAGAUCGCCUUAUUCCUUGCUGUCCCCACCACCUUUGUCCUUCUGUACUGGCUGCUGAAUCACAGGGAAGACGACGAUGAUGAUCCACUCUCUGCAUCCAAAGUUACCACAUCACGUCAAACGGUUAUCGAGGUUAAAGUCCCACGCAAGAUUGUCGGCUCAGUGAUUGGACGACAGGGAGCUAAUAU
rnacentral:lncRNA from 1 species